rnacentral:rRNA from 1 species
AACGAACGCUGGCGGCAGGCCUAACACAUGCAAGUCGAGCGGGGGAGCAGUCCCUAGCGGCGGACGGGUGAGUAACGCGUGGGAACGUACCCUUUGCUUCGGAAUAGCCCCGGGAAACUGGGAGUAAUACCGGAUGUGCCCUACGGGGGAAAGAAUUUCGGCAAAGGAUCGGCCCGCGUUGGAUUAGGUAGUUGGUGGGGUAAUGGCCUACCAAGCCGACGAUCCAUAGCUGGUUUGAGAGGAUGAUCAGCCACACUGGGACUGAGACACGGCCCAGACUCCUACGGGAGGCAGCAGUGGGGAAUCUUAGACAAUGGGCGCAAGCCUGAUCUAGCCAUGCCGCGUGAGCGAUGAAGGCCUUAGGGUUGUAAAGCUCUUUCGUGGGGGAAGAUAAUGACGGUACCCCAAGAAGAAGCCCCGGCUAACUCCGUGCCAGCAGCCGCGGUAAUCUGAGUCGGAG